ACGAACGCUGGCGGCGUGCUUCACACAUGCAAGUCGAACGAUGACGACCGAGCUUGCUCGGUCUGAUUAGUGGCGAACGGGUGAGUAACACGUGAGCAACCUGCCCUUCACUCUGGGAUAACCUCGGGAAAUCGGGGCUAAUACCGGAUAUGAGCUCCUGUCGCAUGGCGGGUGUUGGAAAGUUUUUCGGUGAAGGAUGGGCUCGCGGCCUAUCAGUUUGUUGGUGAGGUAGUGGCUCACCAAGGCGAUGACGGGUAGCCGGCCUGAGAGGGCGACCGGCCACACUGGGACUGAGACACGGCCCAGACUCCUACGGGAGGCAGCAGUGGGGAAUAUUGCACAAUGGGCGAAAGCCUGAUGCAGCGACGCCGCGUGAGGGAUGACGGCCUUCGGGUUGUAAACCUCUUUCAGCAGGGAAGAAGCGAAAGUGACGGUACCUGCAGAAGAAGCGCCGGCUAACUACGUG
rnacentral:rRNA from 1 species